AUUUUCCUUAAUAAUGUUUUGCAGUUUUAUUCUUGCAACAAUUUCACUUCUUGCUUCUGUGCCGUUAUUUUUCUCUUUCGCUUUUCAGAUACCUCAUUGCAGCUGGAAUGAACACAUAUGAGCAGAUUAUGAGGACAUAUAAACAUGAAAGGAAUCCAUUUGAUAAGGAAUGUUGGAGAAACUUUACUGUCCUGUUGUUCGGUCACCAGCUAUCGAGUUGCAAAAAAAAGAAUGAAGUCACCGUGCUCCCAAGUUCUCUGGUGGAAUGUCCGUCCGUCAGUUCAAAGUGUGCGGACACCACAUCUGCCA